CUCCUGAGAAGAAGCCAUGGAUUUCACAGCCAGGAGAUGUGGGGCUCAGACGGGAUGAGUAUGUUCCUCUACGUCCUGGUUGCUGGAGUGCACCUUAGGACUUCAGCUUAGAGUGCAAUCUACACUGUCAGCUCUCUGGCUCUCCAGCCUUCAGACUACACCACCGGCUUUCCUGGGUGUCCAGCUCGCAGACAGCAGAUGAGUCUCCAGGGGUGCAGAGGUGCCGUUGGGUUUUGAUUAACAGCACAGUUCUGUUUACGGAAGAGACCUGAAAUCAACAUUUCUGGAUUGAUUUUCUGACCAGCAUAGCUCCCUGUGACUGACACAUUCCUCAGAGUAUGCUGUGAUCUGAGGGAGAUACAUUCAGAAGAAGGACUCCCAGGCAGGUGGAUAGGAAUGACCCGAAUGUUAAAAUUUAGAUCGUCUCUCCGCAUCCCUUCCAAGAGCUGGCAAUGAGCCUACAGUGUAAUUCAGAACCCAUUGCAACCUUCCAUGAUGUGUGAACUGUCAGAGAAAGUGCCUCCUCCUUCCUUAUCUAAUGGCAUAUUAUGUCUGAUUAGGGAGGUAAAAGAAGGCUGUGUAUGGAAGGUGAGUGUGAUGGACUGAACUGUGUUUUCCUAGAUUCAUAUAUCGAAGGCCUAACCCCUAGUGUGACUGUAUUUGGAGACUGGACUUU